rnacentral:rRNA from 1 species
GACGAACGCUGGCGGCGUGCUUAACACAUGCAAGUCGAACGAAGAGCGACGGAUGCUUGCUUCUCGCAAUCUUAGUGGCGUACGGGUGAGUAACGCGUAAUCAACCUGCCCUACAGUGGGGGACAAAAGUUGGAAACGACUGCUAAUACCGCAUACGAUCUAACCUCGGCAUCGAGGAUAGAUGCAAGGUGGCCUCUACACGUAUGCUCUCAUCUAAGGAGGGGAUUGCGUCUGAUUAGCUAGUUGGGGGGGCAAAGGGCCACCAAGGGGCGGCUCAGUAGCCGGUCUUAAAGGGUGGACGGCCAAAAUGGGACUGAGGCACGGCCCAGAAUACUGCGGGAGGGAACAGGUGGGAAUCUUUCGGAAAGGACGAAAGGCUGACGGAGCAACGCCGCGGGAAGGAUGACGGCCUUCGGGUUGGAAAACUCUUUUAAUCGGGACGGAAGGCCUUCUUGCGAAUAGUGGGAAAUAUUGACGGUACCGGAAUAGAAAGCCACGGCUAACUACGUG